rnacentral:tRNA from 1 species
GGGGAGCUCGUUUAAUGGGAGGACAACACCCUUGCAAGGUGCCGACAGCGGUUCGACUCCGCUGCUCUCCACCA